rnacentral:rRNA from 1 species
GAUAAACGCUGGCGGCGUGCCUAAUACAUGCAAGUCGAGCGAACGGACGAGAAGCUUGCUUCUCUGAUGUUAGCGGCGGACGGGUGAGUAACACGUGGAUAACCUACCUAUAAGACUGGGAUAACUUCGGGAAACCGGAGCUAAUACCGGAUAAUAUUUUGAACCGCAUGGUUCAAAAGUGAAAGACGGUCUUGCUGUCACUUAUAGAUGGAUCCGCGCUGCAUUAGCUAGUUGGUAAGGUAACGGCUUACCAAGGCAACGAUGCAUAGCCGACCUGAGAGGGUGAUCGGCCACACUGGAACUGAGACACGGUCCAGACUCCUACGGGAGGCAGCAGUAGGGAAUCUUCCGCAAUGGGCGAAAGCCUGACGGAGCAACGCCGCGUGAGUGAUGAAGGUCUUCGGAUCGUAAAACUCUGUUAUUAGGGAAGAACAUAUGUGUAAGUAACUGUGCACAUCUUGACGGUACCUAAUCAGAAAGCCACGGCUAACUACGUGCCAGCAGCCGCGGUAAUACGUAGGUGGCAAGCGUUAUCCGGAAUUAUUGGGCGUAAAGCGCGCGUAGGCGGUUUUUUAAGUCUGAUGUGAAAGCCCACGGCCCAACCGUGGAGGGUCAUUGGAAACUGGAAAACUUGAGUGCAGAAGAGGAAAGUGGAAUUCCAUGUGUAGCGGUGAAAUGCGCAGAGAUAUGGAGGAACACCAGUGGCGAAGGCGACUUUCUGGUCUGUAACUGACGCUGAUGUGCGAAAGCGUGGGGAUCAAACAGGAUUAGAUACCCUGGUAGUCCACGCCGUAAACGAUGAGUGCUAAGUGUUAGGGGGUUUCCGCCCCUUAGUGCUGCAGCUAACGCAUUAAGCACUCCGCCUGGGGAGUACGACCGCAAGGUUGAAACUCAAAGGAAUUGACGGGGACCCGCACAAGCGGUGGAGCAUGUGGUUUAAUUCGAAGCAACGCGAAGAACCUUACCAAAUCUUGACAUCCUUUGACAACUCUAGAGAUAGAGCCUUCCCCUUCGGGGGACAAAGUGACAGGUGGUGCAUGGUUGUCGUCAGCUCGUGUCGUGAGAUGUUGGGUUAAGUCCCGCAACGAGCGCAACCCUUAAGCUUAGUUGCCAUCAUUAAGUUGGGCACUCUAAGUUGACUGCCGGUGACAAACCGGAGGAAGGUGGGGAUGACGUCAAAUCAUCAUGCCCCUUAUGAUUUGGGCUACACACGUGCUACAAUGGACAAUACAAAGGGCAGCGAAACCGCGAGGUCAAGCAAAUCCCAUAAAGUUGUUCUCAGUUCGGAUUGUAGUCUGCAACUCGACUACAUGAAGCUGGAAUCGCUAGUAAUCGUAGAUCAGCAUGCUACGGUGAAUACGUUCCCGGGUCU